rnacentral:rRNA from 1 species
AGGGUUUGAUCAUGGCUCAGGAUGAACGCUAGCGGCAGGCUUAACACAUGCAAGUCGAGGGGCAGCAUGUCCAGCAAUGGAUGAUGGCGACCGGCGUAAGGGUGCGUAACGCGUGAGCAACAUGCCCUAUACAGGAGGAUACUCCGGGGAAACCCGGUCUAAUACUCCAUAGUAUUAUUGAGAGGCAUCUCUUAAUAAUUAAAGCUUCGGUGGUAUAGGAUUGGCUCGCGUGACAUUAGCCAGAUGGUGAGGUAACGGCUCACCAUAGCAACGAUGUCUAGGGGUUUUGAGAGGAAGGCCCCCCACACUGGGACUGAGACACGGCCCAGACUCCUACGGGAGGCAGCAGUGAGGAAUAUUGGACAAUGGAUGGAAAUCUGAUCCAGUCAUGCCGCGUGCAGGAAGACUGCCUUAUGGGUUGUAAACUGCUUUUAUACGGGAGCAAUAAGGGUUACGUGUAACCUGAUGAGAGUACUGUAUGAAUAAGGAUCGGCUAACUCCGUGCCAGCCGCCGCGGUAAUUC